rnacentral:ncRNA from 2 species
UACAGAGGCCCCGAGCGUUAAUCGGAAUCACUGGGCUUAAAGGGUGCGUAGGCGGAUCUGAAAGUGUCUUGUGAAAGCCCCCGGCUCAACCGGGGAACUGCGGGGCAUACUACAGAUCUUGAGGCAGGUAGGGGUUGCUGGAACUCUAGGUGGAGCGGUGAAAUGCGUAGAUAUCUAGAGGAACGCCGAUGGUGAAGACGAGCAACUGGACCUGUCCUGACGCUGAGGCACGAAAGCGUGGGGAGCAAACAGG